CUGAUAUACAAGAUAUCUAAUAUGUGACCCCCAAAGGGGAUCAGGUUGAGAACCACUGGUUUAGUGGAUCAGAGGUCUAUAGGAGGGCUGAUACCUACAAGGGUAUGUGGGGCUAUGGUGACCAGCAGGGCCCAGACCCAGUAACAUCUGGAGUAUUUCCAGGGGAAGCAUGUCCAGCAGUGCCCAGUAAUUAACAGUAUGUCUAAUGGCUGUGGGGUAGAAGGAUGUCUCAUGGACUCUGGUAACUAGCAUUGUCCAUGGGGUAGUGGCACUGGGCAGGGGUGUCAUCUUGCAAGGUCUCAUGCCUUGGAGUUUAUAUGAGCAGCAUCAGGAGAUGUCCAGCAUGGCCUGAAAACGGUGUAUGUUGGCCAGCAGUGGGGGUGAGUAGGGCGUCUCAUGGGCCUGAACCCUAGCAGCACAAGUAGGGCAUCGGGGAGUGUUCAGAAGGUCCCGAUACCAAGCUGUCUACGUACAGUGUCAGCACAGUGUCCACCAGGUCAAGCUGUGUGGCAGUGUGUAUGCGAUAUGCAGUAGGGUCUGAUGCCUGGCACUGUGUGGCGUGGCGUGGCGUCCUUAGGGAAGGGGUGUCUAGGAGGGCCUAAAAGUUAAGUGGGAAGGUGGCUUUGGGUGGCCAUUCUUGCCUGAAAAACAGCAACGUGUGUGUGUGUGGGGGCAUCCAGGAAGGAGUGAUACCAAGCAGUGUGUUUGGAGCCGUGGCAGUGGGGGAAGGGAAGUCCAGCAGGACCUGUUAUCUGGUAGCUGUGUGGACUAGUGGAGGGGAUGCCCUACAGGGCUUCAGACCUCAGUGUUCAUGCUGUGGAUGGCGGCGGAUGUCCAGAAGGAUCUGAAUAUAGCAGUGUAUGUGGAGCUUUGUCAGGAUGUCUAGUGGGGCCUGAUAACUACCUGUGUUUUUCAGAUGGUGGCAGGGAGGGUGUGUUGUCAGUCACCAGUGUAGUAAGUGGUGUAGCCACUCUUGUGUGCUGUCCAGUGGGAUGCUAGAAUGGGCGUGUCCUACACUGCCUGAAAGUCACCAUUGUAUAUAGGGCAGCAGCAUGGGCGAGUGGGGGUCUAGGCAUUGGGCCUUACUGGGCAAACCCCUUCACUAAUACCCCACAUGCACGGGAAGGUAUCAACUACUGCUGCAUCCCUGGGCACAAAAACCUUCCAGGAAUCAGGCUCUGCUGGCCCCUACCCCACAUAAACUGGUGGAUAGCAGGGCCCUACUGGACACCACUCUGCAGCCCUACAUACACUGUUAUGAAACAGAUACUACUGGAACUCUACCCACACUUGAUGUAUUGGACUAAUACCAGACCAUCCUGGCCACAUUCCCUCUCUGUCCUCCUCACCCAUAAACAGUUGCUGUGUUUCAGACUCUGCUGAUAAGCCUACUGUGCUUUGCCCCACAUACAGUGCUAGUGUCACACCCUACUAGACACAUCACAUCCACGGCUAUGAGUUAGGCCCUGCUGGACACCUGACUCACACUCUAGGUACAUUGCUGAGGUUUAGUCCUGUUGACACUUGACUCCCAGACUUAGGAGACGCCGAGGAAUCAGGUCAUUCCUCUUGCUGCCACUGUGCUAUGUGUGAAAGCAGGUUCUACUGGACCUUCCCGCCACAUACAGUGUUCAGGGACAGGUCUGUGGGGUGCAUGUUCUCCCCUUUCCCAGUCAUUGCCAUCUGCGUACGCGACUAGGUUUUAAGCCAUGCUGGACACUCUCCUGAUGUUCCCCCAUAUACACUGCUUUAGCCAGCUGCCCAAGUCUUCCCAUUUACACUAGACAUCAGACCCUAUUUGACAUUCUCCAUCUCGGUAGCCAACUCACACCCACUGCCGGGUAUCAGACCCUACAGUGCACCCUCCCAUUCUACAGCCAACUUACAUACACUUGUAGUAUCCAGCUGGACUCCCCUGUCAUUGCCGCAUAUAGCUGUCUAAGAAUUAGGCCCUGCUGGACAACCCACCCCAGACCACCAGUGUACACUGCUAUGUUGCAGGACUUGGUAACACCCUCUGAUGAUCCUUUGCCUUCUUCCCUCAAAGCCCAUUCCCGUAGUGUGGUGGGCCAGCAGCUGUUGGGUGGCAUCUAACAGAGAUAUCUAGCAGUAGGUGUGCUAGCUAGCAGUGUGUUGAGGUGGCAGCAGCAUCUGUCCUGGUGGUCCUCAUAUCUAAUGGCUCAUGUGGCACAGGUGGGAAGAGGGUGUCUUCCAGACAUGUCUGGUGGGCAGUGGCAGGGGGCAGGGUGUCCAUGUAUGUGCUUGUGCUCUUGAUACUUUCCCAUGCUUUCUGCUCAGAAAGAAGGCAAACUUGCUGUCAGACACAUUGAACACACGUGGAACAUGGUGGGGCUGGCUGAUGUAUUUUACAAUCUCCUAAGGACUUUAGGUUGCACAGGACAAAUGCAGAGUUUGCUUUCCUGGCCUUCUCAGUAUAAAGGUAAACAAUUCCGUGAAGAAAUAGAGGGAGCCACAGUUGCUGGACUUUGCACACAUUGAUCAAUCCUUCAGAACUGCUCAUACUCAGAUUCCCAGGGAGAGCUUGGCCACCUCUCUUUGGCCUGUCCCAUGUGGGUAAUGGCUUUUCCUGGUCCAGAAUGCAUUUCCAACAAGGGGUAGGGGAUGCUGUUGCUAUUGCUCAGGGCUACUCAGUACUAAGUCACUCACUGUGUCUCUUUCCUGUGUCUUUCUCCUUUCAAGUGGAGAAAGAGAAAGACCUGUCUCUGUGGUUGUUGAACCACGAGGAGCAGAGAUCAGCCUGGCAUGGACUGAGAGCCAGAGGAAGGAGCCGAGCCAGAGCUCCAUUGGGCUGUGUGCCUGUACACCCCUCAGAUACUGAAGACACUCUGGGCACAAGUUUCUGUACCCUUCCUCCAGCUGCUGGACUUUAGCUACUUGCCUCCUGCUCCUUCAGCUUCCUGCAGCACUUGCUCUGAUGCUCUGGUCAAGCUGGUUAAGCAUGGCACCAUCAUCCUGGCUCCUGACUUGUAUUUGCACCAUGUUCUGGAAUCUUGACCACUACCAGGACACUUAAUAUGAGUAUGAGGAACUUGGGACAUCCAUCUCUCCUGCAGGACUUUCACUGCUCUGCUGGAGCCACAGCCAGUUUAGGCCCUGCAGGUGAUGAUACAGAUGCAGGACAGUAGAGGACAGCAUGACUGAUACCUGUUCUGUGGAGCUAUGCUGACAGUUUAGAACACUGGCAGCAUCAAUGACUCUCGUGGCGGGGCACAGGAAUCCACACCACCGCUGGCUGGAGAGCAGACAUACCUGGAGCCCUCCCCAUAACACCUGUGCACUCUGUCUAGCAGGCCUCAGACUCUAGUCUUUGCUCUUGGGAGGGAGGAGGGAGCCAGCAUCCCCUUUUCUCUCUUCAUUUGUGAUUCAGCAGAGGCAAAGAGGAGACUGAGAGGCAGGGGCUGGCCUGGCCUGAGUGUCGUGCCACAGCUGGGACCUGGCAAAUGACGUUCCACUGACUAGGUUGUUGGCUAGUCAUUGGCGAAGGCCAAUAGGUAGAGUAGAAGUAAAGUGUGUGAGUCGGGUGCGUGUUGGGAACAUAAUGUUAAUAGUAAUGUCAUUUUCUAUAACAUGUAAGACUUUAUUAAUUCUAGUCACUUUAUUUACUUUUUUUUUUUUGAUGAGCUUUCUGGGGUUUUCAACACACAGGUUCAUGUCCUCUGUGAAUGUAACUUCUACUUGCAAUCCCACUGGGAUGAGCAACCAACCAACCUCCCUCCCUCCCUCCCUUCCCCUUCCUUCCCCCCUCCCUCCACUGCACUCACCCUCCUCUUUCUUCUCCUCUCCUUGCAUCUCCUACCUUCCUCUCCUGGACCAGAGACCACAGUUUUAAUCCUCCCCCUUAUCUCAGCAUGAUGCUAAAUGCUGACAUUCCCAACACCGGGGAAACUGAGGCUCCAGAACCCUGACAUUCAAGGCCAACCUGGGCUACCAUAACGAAAGAACCCCUUCUCAAAAACGUGUUCUUUCAUUAAGGCUAUCGUCUGCCCUCUAAACUACAAGGUCUAGGUCGUUCAUAUUUAGCACACUUCCUGAUGUUGUUAGCCUUGAGCAGUUUUCUUUUGGACAUUUUGUUUCAGCCCCCCUCUCCACUUUUAUUUCUCAACAGCUUCCUUUAGUACUAUAUAGCUGUUUUAUUGUGUUAUAUUGAUUAUUUUGCUAAUUUUGUGACUAUGGUUACUAGAUACUCUAAUGAUGCACCCAAACUUAGUUCACAUUAAUAGUAACCUAGCUUUGAUAAAAUAGAGAAACUGCUUUAACACAGCUGUUAGCUUUCCCUCGUCUGUGCCAUAAUGGCCAUUUUUAUUACAUCUCUAUGAUGGAAACCCAUCAACACAUUGUUUUAAUACUUCGUAUGACACCAGGUCAUUUUGGGUGUGUUAAUGUCUAUGCAGACUUUAUUACCUCUGUACUUGCCAUUUAUCGGUUUCAAAUUAAUUUACCAUCUGGUACCAUUUCCUUCCACACUUGAAAGACUUUCUUUAGUCCUUAUUAUGAGGUGGGCUUGCUAGCCAUAAACUUUUUAUCUGAGAAUGCGUUUAUGUUCACUUCAUGACUGAAGGGGAAUUUGGCUGUUUAUAGAAUUCUUCUUUUAGUAAAUUUUAGUUAACACAGUUUCCUAGUUUUCAUCUGCAGAAUUUCUUCUUGGUUCGUCUUAGAGUUCCUUUUACUUUUCUGGCCCCCAUGUUACUAUUAUCACACUAUCACUGUGUGGUAAUUGUACUACUUGCAUCCUAUUACUGUGUAGCAAUUUGACUGUGGUUAGAUGUUCUUCACCAAAAUGACUAUUAUUUCUGACACCAAGUCACAUCCCUCCUCUGCCCUCAGUGCUAGAUUACAGGUAUGUGUGGCUAUUUCAGGCUUUUUACAUGGGUGGUGGGGAUCCAAACUAAGCAUGCACAUUGGGUUCUCUUAUCCAGUGAGCCGUCUCCUCGGCCUUCAAAAAUA